AUUGAACGCUGGCGGCAGGCCUAACACAUGCAAGUCGAGCGGAUGAAGGGAGCUUGCUCCUGGAUUCAGCGGCGGACGGGUGAGUAAUGCCUAGGAAUCUGCCUGGUAGUGGGGGAUAACGUCCGGAAACGGGCGCUAAUACCGCAUACGUCCUGAGGGAGAAAGUGGGGGAUCUUCGGACCUCACGCUAUCAGAUGAGCCUAGGUCGGAUUAGCUAGUUGGUGGGGUAAAGGCCUACCAAGGCGACGAUCCGUAACUGGUCUGAGAGGAUGAUCAGUCACACUGGAACUGAGACACGGUCCAGACUCCUACGGGAGGCAGCAGUGGGGAAUAUUGGCAAUGGGCGAAAGCCUGAUCCAGCCAUGCCGCGUGUGUGAAGAAGGUCUUCGGAUUGUAAAGCACUUUAAGUUGGGAGGAAGGGCAGUAAGUUAAUACCUUGCUGUUUUGACGUUACCAACAGAAUAAGCACCGGCUAACUUCGUG
rnacentral:rRNA from 1 species